GCAAAAAAAACUCAUUUUCUUUGUCCCAGAUUACAAGCAAAAAAGACAAAUUUUUAUCAUAUUUAAUUAUAAUGUCUCAAAAAAUUAUCUUUUCCAAAGGAAAAUUAAAUGUAAAGUGCAUUUAAUUUGCUCUCUCUUUCAUUUUUUCAAUAACCAAUGACCAAUGAAAAUUGUUUUUACAUCUUCCUAUAAAACUUAUUUCAAGGAUAACACAAGAAACUAUGUUGCAAACUACGAGUAUGUUUUAGUUUUCUUAAUAAGUGUGAAUUUUUUUUUACUUAUAAUAUGAGAUGGAUGGAGUAUUACACAAAUUGUAACAAAAAAAAAAAAAAAAUGGAGUAUUACACAACAUUAGAGGCGAAGUAACAACAUAUUUGUUCCAUGCCAAUUUACAUGCAUCAUUUAUUGCAAUUCGGAGGGAUUUCUAAAUAAUCCAACUCAUCGGUUGGAAACAAAGACUUAUUUUUCAAGAUUUAUAUUCAUAUCAUGGAUUUCAUUGGACAUAUACCCGUUGGUCACUAUAAUAUACAAAAAAUUGUUUUUAAGAGUAUAAUAUAUUUGGUAUAUAUCAUAAAUCAAAUACAUUAAUUAUUCAAUAAAUUUAAAAAAUAGUUUUUCUCUUGUUAAAGUGACCGGAUUGCAUAUAUCUCAACAUUAAGCGGUCCCCGACAUCUUCAAUAAGUCUUCUGCCUCAGAUUUAUAGGCAAAACACCAACCAUAAUCAACAUCAAGAAUAGGAGAAUGAGCACAAAAGCUCCCACUUCCCUUGUUCAUGCAUUCAACAUGAGAGUGACAUAUGUUAGGAUGAUUUUCCCCAAUUAUUUGUUCGACGCAUCCUAUCUGGGGAUAACAAAAACAACGGUCACCGCAUCGUAGAAAAAACCCUACACAAAUAUUAUCCUUACAGCUUGCUUCUACCUUCUUCAUCGGCAACAUUACUGAAAUAAAUAGAUUUAUUAAUCAGUUUUAGAGUUUAAAUAAAUAGAUUCCCAGUUAUUUCUCAUUAGUUCUAUAAUAGUACAAAUAAAAAUGCACGAUAUAUAAAAUAUUGGUGAAAAAAUUGUUAUACUUACAGAAUGUGGCAAGCAUGAACACAGCCAAAGGAAUGAGUUUAGCAUAAGCCAUCGUUUGUUAGGAGAGUUUAAUUUGCUUCGUUGCGGCAUCAACCUUACACUUAAAUAGUUGCUCUCCCAAUAUUAAAAUAAAUGUCAUGUUUAUCAUUUCUAAUUUAUUAAAAUAAAUGGCAUGUGUAUCACUUCUAAUUUAUUAAAAUAAAUAGUUGUUAAAAAAAUUAUGCAUCUUGACCAAAGAAAAAAAAAUCAUGCAUUAAAAAUUGUACUUAUUUAUUUUGUGGGGAGAUUAGAAGGAUAGGGAUUAGGGAGAGAGCUUCACGUGUUCUUGCCGAAAAAUUAGCCAACUAGUGUGAGUUAUGAAUUGUUGCAACAAAAGUGUGAAAGUUGAAAUUUUUGUAGUAGCUUAUAACUUACAACUACUAAACGAAAAGUGAUAAGUUAUAAAUUAUUUGAAUUAGCUUAUCUCAAACCGCUAUAAGCUCAUAAAAAUAAGCUAUAAGAUCGUGAGAGAAUGAUUGUUACCAAUAAUUUCUUUUUUAAUCAAAUAAACUUAUAAAACAUAAACUUUAAAUUAUAAGCUCAAAAAUAGGCCUUACCAAACAAACUCAAAAAGUUGUUGCGGGUAUAUGGAAAAUUUCUUGUAUUGAUUUUACUUAGUAGUUAAUUAAUAGUUUUCUUGAAAGGCAAAAUCAAAAUAAAUACAUAGAAGGAGAGUAAUAGUAAAUUGGUGGGUUGCUAAAAAUGACUAGAAAAGAUAAUAUAUAAUUAAACAAAUUAGUGAGAACUAUAAAGUACUACUAGUCAUAGAUAUUAUCGGUUAGGUAUUGCCUAAAAGUGAUGGUUGAUAAGUUAAACUUUUGCGUCUUACUCAAGUCGUAGAUUAUGAGUAGAAUCAUGUCAAAUGUAAUGUUAUUGAUAAAUGUUCUUGUAAGAACAUUUUGGGUGGGGAAGUGUCAUAUAUAAUAAAAUUAGUGUUGAGGGUCGAUAAGAACUUAUGGGAUAUUAAUGCGGUGUCUAACUUAUUUGUGUGAUUACUCUGAAUUUAAUGUGGAUGAUCUUUUAAACUCCCCUCGUGAAUUAAUAGUUGGGCAAGAGGUAGAAACUGUGCUUGCACUAGCUCAAAGUAGUUGGAUGAAUGUGUCGAAGUUAGUUGAUGUUUAAGUAGCAUUUCAUCCUGUGUGUACUUGCCUUGUUGGGUAUGUAAGAUAUGUAUUAGUAGUAUAUGUGUGUUAUUUUAUAUGUUUUUUGUGGUGUGAUGUGUGUGGAAGUCAAAGAUGAUGAUUUAAUCCAAUUGAAUGCUAAUCACCAGAAGAGUUCCAAGUUGCAAUUUAAUUCUUUAUCGUUAUAAAGGACACUAUAUUUCAAAUGCUUAUUGUUCUAAGUGCAAAUAUUGGCAUUUUUAUUCUGAGAUCAAGCUUUGGAGAAAAAUUUAAUGAAGUUAACAAUGUAAAUUAUUCUUAUCAAUACAUGGUCACUUAUAAGAAAGUCCUCAAAUUUAGUUUGUAUCUCUUGGCAAUUCCUUACAUCUCGUAUAACAAACUUUUUCUCCUUUUAUCUAAUUUGAGCUCAAAUUUAUUUCACACUAUAUCUACAUACUCUCAUAUCAUAUCUCUAGCUCUCCCCUCAAACGGCUACUUAGAAUUUGAAGGAUAAAUUAUUUAGUUUGUAAGAAAUUAUCUGUUGUAGUUGAUCUAUCUAGUAUUGGAAAUGUAUAAUAAAGAUGUUGGAAAACUUGCUUCAGAUUACUUAGAUUACUUUGGUGUUUAGUAGGAGUUUUUCAUAAAAAUUGUGGUUGAGCCUAACACAACCUUACAAAAUCGACUUGUGAGGAGAGGAUUGUCCUCACUUAUAAUUGGAAAUUGCUCUUCUCCCUUUCAAAAUUGAGCAUUCCCUUAUUUAUGUCUAACGUUAGUUAACUCAGGCUCGGCCUUUUCAACUUGAGUUAACUCAAGCUGGACAUUUUUCAAUAUGAGUUAACUCACGUAGGCAUGUGAAUGAUAAAAAACAAAAGGGAGGAGAACAAUUUUCCUUAUAAUUGCCCCCACUUAUAAACACAUUCUUAAAAAUUUUGGUUGGAAAUAACACAACCUCACAAAAUCGGCUCGUGAGGUGAGGAUUGCCCUGAAUUAUAAUCGCCCCCACUUAUAAACACAUUCUCAUUCUCAGGUCAUCUCUUAUGAGAUGUGGGACUCUUCAAGAUCACACCCCUUCACGCCCAAGAAUGGACAUGUGGAGUGUGAAUAUAAAUGUUGGGUGGCCCGAUAAUGGAAACCUGAAAGCAGGUGGCCUAACGGAUCUUGGAUGAGGCUCUGAUACCAUCUUAAAAAUUGAGGUUGGGCCUAAUACAACCUCACUAAACCAGCUUGUUAGGUGAAGAUUGUCCUCACUUAUAAUUGUCUCCACUUAUAAACACAUUGUUAGUCCAUCUUUUAUGAGAUGUGUGACUUUUAACAAUUUUAUUUUAAUGAUAAGUCAUCAAAUUCAUGAUAUUAACAUAUUACAUCCUUCAAUUUUAUUUCCAAUGCAGGCACUCACAUAUAUUGAAAUGGAUUGGAAACAAUUCAUGCUUGAUGGAGAAGUGAUUGUUAGCAAAACUAGGAAAAACUAUUUUAGAGAGCAAAUUCCUCUAAGUCUUGGUUAAAUAUAAACAAGUUUUUUCUACAAAAAGGAAAGAUGAGAUAUUAACUUUUCAAAUUGGAUUAUAAUGUCUAGUUGCUUUCUGCCCAAGCACACUCAAAAAAUGAAUAUAUAUAUUCUUGUUCAAUAUAUAUUUGACUAAAGGGUGACCAGUUUGGAAUCCUAUCCUAAAAUAGAGAUUCGUUAAAAAAAGAAUUUACUACAGAAGGAAGAAUAUAUCCAUUUUAUUUCAAAAACAGACAAAGAUACUCACUCCUAUUUAACCCCUCUCCUCAAUAUGAUAAUCAUAGACAACUUGAUAGAAAUUAAGAGAUCAUCAACUCUUAACAUUUCAAAAUGCCUGUGUUUAUCCCUGCUGACAAACCAAAGAGAGUGUCUAUGGAUCAAAUCAACUUCGAAAGGAACAUUAUCGAAAAAUUGGAAAAAGCAGAUAUCAAUAACGACGGUCGUUACACAAAGGAAGAGCUCAAAAAAGCUCUAAAGGAUUUAGGUUCUUACUACCCUGGAUUGAGAGCCAUAUUUUGUUUCAUGAAAGCUGAUGCCAACAAAGACGGACAAAUCAGUGGCGAGGAAAUCGACACUUUAAUUGAUUAUCUCCUUACCCGUGGUUUUGGCAAGAACUAAUUAUUAAGAGGUGAUAUAUGAUCAAUAAUCAAAUCAUGCUAAUAGCUUUAAUGCAGUAUAUAGUAGUAUAUAUGCAGUUUGUGUUUAUGUUAAUCAAUAUUAAAACCAUCUAUGCUUAUAUGUAACGCAGAAGAACCGGAGGAAUACAAUUAAUUCUUCCUGUGUUAUGCUAUAUGAACAUGCAUGUAGUACUUAUAACUUGCUGCCAAUAAAAUAAAUAGAUAUUUCCCCUGCCUUUCUGGUGUAUUUGUUACUGAUGAGCAAUAGCUAUUUAUUUUUUUCCUUUCUUCGUGCAUUCCACAUGAGAUUGACAUAUGUUAGGAUUUUCCCCAACUAUCUUUGUAACAUCUUUAUACGCUCUAGGUAAGCAUGUAACAUCUUAACAAUAAUUACACAACUUUUUUAUGUAAACUUACUUAUUUUAAUACUUUAAAAAAUGUCUUAAGGGCACUCGUUAACAUUCUGCAUAGUAAAAUGAUUGUAGAUAAAAUGAGCAAAUCCAAACAUAUCUAGAGACUUACCAACAAACCACAUUAAACUCCACCAUACCAAGGCAAGCAUCACCAUGUCCACAUCUGAGACACGGCGAAGAAAACGACUCUUCUAGGCCUAAAAAAAAAGUCUGAAGUUCAUGCCCUAAAAUAUGAAGAAAAAAAUAAAUUAGGGGUCCAUUAAGAAAAAAAAUAUACAUGCUUAGUUCUUUGUUAGUCCAUUUAAAAUUUAUCACAUGAUUUUACUAAAGAGAGUCCAAAUCCUUGACUUGCAACAACAUUGUAGUAGAUUAUAGAAAAAUAGAAAGACACAAGAAAGAAAGACAAAGUUGUAGCGGCAACUUAAAGAGAAAGAAGAAAAAUGGUUCUAGCGACAACUUCAUCGUCGAUGACGAUUCAUGUGCUAUUAUUCUAUUCAUUGUUUCAAGAUUUUAUCGUAUAAUGUUGGUUGCAAAAAAUAUGCAUAUAGUAGUGAAAAAAGAAAAACGAGCGUAUAAUUAAUAGAAUCACAAAAGGGGACAAAAGAUAAAUUUGCUUAUAAACGAGUAGAUAAAUUUGAAUGAUGAUAAUCACAUCAACGACAAUAAUAAUGUUCUUGGGUCAAAUAUUGAUAUGUAGACAUCAAUGACCACUUAAUUUCUCUUUUAUAUAUCUAUGAUCCUAGACGAAGUUGGGGUAUUUUUUAUUCAAAAACCAGAGGCAUUUUGAUUGAAAAGGGGCCUAUUAGGAAAAUCGAAUCUUACAUUUCCUAUGAACAAACGUUCUGAGCAUUUUUCAUAUUCGUAUUUUUUCAGAAAAUUGAGUAAUUGAGAGACUUUUGAAAGAAAAUAAUUGUCUUAUUACUCUAAACAUGUGAAUGCAGUAUAUUAUUUUUGUUGUAAAUCGUGCACUUUUCAAAAUAACAACUACAUAAGUCUUUUAUCAAACGAUGGAGUGAAUGAUUAUAAUCAUUUAAGUGAGAAACUAAAAGAACAUGAUAACGUUGUUGAGUGUAUCACUGAAAUAUAGAAAAAUAUAUGAUAGAACAUAUUGAUGUAGACACAAUUAUUAGUAAUUUUGCAUCUAAAUUUUUUUCGUAGUAUUUGUUUUAUAUGAUCAUUUUUUUUGUUUGAAGUCUGAUGUUUUUAUUAGACUAUUUAUUAACGUAAUAAAAACUAUAAUCUUCAAACAAGAUUUUUCUGACUUUAGAAAUUCAAAUUUUAUAUAUACUUAUUUAGUUAAGAUCCAAACUUUAUACGAAGCCAAAAAGAAAUCCAAAUUUUAAGUUUGUCCUAAGACGACCUCGACCAACAUCUCAAAAACAGGCAUGAGCAUCAUCUAAAAUAGGCGAAAAUUCAUAAGACGGGUAUAAUCAAAGGGAACUUCUACGGUACACCCACAAAUUAAGCUGUACCGGUACUCUCGCUUAUAAUUUUUAUAAAUUAACUAUCAUUUUUUAUGAAAGAAAAUAGGUGUUUGUUGACAUAUAUAUUUUAGAAAAUAUCAUUUUAUAAGAAAAUACAUCAUUUCAUUUUUUAGAAAAAUCAUACUAAAUUUUUCUACAUUUUAUCGUAAAAAAUAAUCAAAAUUCUCUAUUAUGAGUAAUAGGAAUUCAGAAAAAUCAAAUUUUAUUGUGUUGACGUUUUUGGUAAAUAAGAUUUAAUUAUUAUAAUUAUAGGUGAUAGAAAAUAUUUUUUUCCUACAAAAAAUAACUCAUUUAACUAUUAAUUUAAAAAUUCGGUGUACCAAUACACUUAAAUUGUUGGGUGUACCAUAUAAUUUGCCAUAAUCAAAACCAAAAAGAGAUAUAUACGAGAAGAAUUAGAGAGCAAAGUAAGGGGAUAAUUCAUAACAUUUCUAGUGAAGUAACAACAUAGUUCAACGUCAAAUUACAUGCAUCAUUUAUUACAAAUAUGGAGGGAUAUUUAAAUAAUCUAACUCAUCGGUUGCAAAUUACAAAUGAAAUGAAAAGUAGAUGCAUCAUCAUAUCAUGAAUUUCAAUGGACACUAAGCACUCACUGACAUUUUUAACAAGUCUUUUGUGAAUUUAGAUUUAGUCGUAAACUCUUCUUCUGCCUCAGAUUUAGAAGCAAAACACCAACGAUAAGGGAGCUUCUAUGGCACACCUCACAAAUUGAGGUGUACCGAUACUCUGCUUCAUAAAUUUAUAAAUUAAAGACCAUUUUAUGAAAUAAGUUGUUAUUUGUCAUUAUUUAUAUUUUAAAAACACGAUCUCAUGAGAAAAAAAAAAACAUCAUUUCAUUGUUUAUAUGAAUUAUAUUAAAUUUUUAACAUUUUCUCAUAAAAAAUAAUCAAUAUUCUUCAUUAUGAGCAAUAAAAAUUCAAAAAAAGUAAAUUUUAUUUCAUCAACGCUUUUGCUAAAUAAGAUUUAAUUAUUAUAGUUGUCAAUGAUAGAAAAUAAUUAUUUUUUCUUCAAAAAACAAUCAAUUUAAUUAUUAAUUUAAUGUUUGGUGUUCUAGUACGCUCAAAAUGUUGGAUGUAUCAUAGAAUUUGCCUAUAAGGGAACAAAUCUUCUCAAAAAGAUCAACAUGCAUUUUUCUAAUCAAGAUGACUUUCCAAUUAAUAGGUUCAAAAUAUAAUAUUAGGGUUAAUCAUCAACUUGCAAACAUAUUCUUUCUCUAAUCAUCAUAUUUUUCACGUUUCAUUAUUUAUACAACAAUCAACAGGGCAAUGAGGGUGAUUUCACAACUCUUCCCAUGAAUCCCUAGGCUUUGACAGAUGCAUUUGAUUUCAUAACUAAAAGAUCUUGCAACAAGGAAAAUUUGGCCACAUGUAUAUGAACAUCUUCAAUUUUUUCACAUAGUUUUUUUGCAGGAAUAGUCAGUAAAUUGCAGCAAUGUACUAGUCAGUUUCAGUUGUAAUGUUGCACUAAUUCCAAGUAGUUGGAUUAAUUUGUCGUAGUUAGUGUUUAGGUAGCAUUUUAUCCUAUGUGUACGUGCAUGAGUAUAUUUGUUAUAUGUUCUUGAUGUGUGAUAUGUGUUUGGAAGAUGAUGAUUUUUUUUAAGAGGUUAAAAUUGAAUAUAUUAUCAACUCAAAAAGUUUUUUUUUAGCAUAAGGUGUAUAUAGGAAAGACAAACAAAGUCGAAACAGUAUUUACAAGAGAAAACUGUACAAAAAUCAUAAAAAAGAAAUAAUUAUCAGCCUAUGCCUAACAAGGUAAAUGAAUUAAGCCACCAUCCAUGAUAGUUAAAGGGAAAAGUAGCAAAUUUCACCUUCAACCACCUAAAAACGAGAGACUUAAUCCUAUCGAUCACCUGAUUUAUUAAGCAAAUUUUGUCGUUAAAAUGUCUGCUAUUUCUUUCUUUCUUAUUUCUUUCGAUAUUUGGAAAAUGGUGAUUUAAUUAACCACGUAAUACAUAUUAGCCUACCCACAGAGAAUAUCUUGAUUGGAGAACAUUUGAAAAUAUAUCCUAAUAAGCUCGAUAUCUAUAGAGCAUAUAUAUCCUUUUCAAAAACCUAUAUUAAAACGUGUAAAUGACGUUGUUCGUUUUCAUAUACGCUACUAGUGCUAAUGGAUACCCUAAUUAUGAUGAUUUGUUCAAUGAAAUAAGAUAAUAUCCCUAGCAUUGACUUAACAUUGACGGCAUCCAUUAACCAAUUAUCACAACUAAUGGUGCUGUUUGGAAUCUGAAUCAGGUUCUAUUUCAUAGGAAUAGCUUUAAGUUAGUACAUGGAUCUAUAAAUUAAAACUUGUCAAUUUUUAUUUUUUUGGUCAAGAACUUGUCAAUUCUUUUAACCAUUUUUAUAAGGAAAAUGUUACAUAGACACAUUUUAAUUGCAUACACCCUUGUACACCCCAUGUAUUAGGAAGAGAGAAGAGAAGAAGAAAGAGAAAGUGUACUUGUGCGGGGUCCAUAUGACCACAUGUCAGAUUUUUGUGUGGGUGUCAAGAGGUGUAUUGCCACUUAAGGGUGUUUAUGUAUCAUAACUCUUUUUAUAAAUAAAUGUCUUCAAUCAAUUAGAACUUAGAGAUCCACAACAAAGCACCACAAAUUGAGUAUUUGAAUGGGUCUCCUAUCCACAUAACUAAUUUUACGGUAAUACUUAUAAGCAUCGAUUUUCUCCAAUCCAACGUCUCAAAGUAAAUUAUUAAAUAGGUCCUACAAAUAAUUUUAUAUUGUUACAUUUCAACAAAAUUUAUUUAUUUUAUUAAGAUUUAUUAAAUAGGACCCGCAAAAAAUGAAGAGAAAGAGGGUGCUUUAAUAACCACUUUUCUAUGAGAAAUGAUAUUUGUAUAACCAUUAUGUGACAACUUUUGGACAACUUUCUCUCUCAUACUCACAUGAGAUUCUUAUUCUCUCUCUUCGUUUCUCUCUCUCCAUUGUUUUUGACCAAUAAGAAGAGAGAAAAUCAAAGUUGUCAUCAAUUGGAUGUACAAAUAUCACUACUCCUUUUCUAUAGGCAUCUAUAUAUUAUACUCCAUAAUGGAGGGUGUCCGUUUAACAUGGUGCUUAAUACCGUGCUAAUUUAAUAUGGUGUAUAUAAUUUGGAAUGAAUGAAGUAAUAUGGUUAAGGAGUUGGUGUUGUUCCUAUAUUCAUGAGAUUUAAUAUUUUUUAAUUAAUUAUAACAAAGUAAAAGAGAUAAAUUUGUAAAUAUAAUAGUUUAAACGAAAUAUAAAAUUGAAAAAGAAAAAGUCACCCUAAAAAGUAUCAUCUUUAUAUAUAGAUAUAUAUGGCUUGAAAUAAACCUAUCUAUAUGUCGAAAGUACAAUUUUGGGUCCGGUGAAGGAGAAGAUUGUGAAGUAUUGGGUCAACAAACAAAGUUAUACAUAUGGGAAAUACUACAACAAAUAGAGCUGAAUUUGCACACAACCGGUUGAAAAAGUAUAUGACUAGUAGCAUGAGUGAUUUAAGUACAAACUAUAAAUCCGUUCACAACAUGUUAGUGUCACACCAUACUCAAAUACACGCUUCCUUUUAGACGAGCAUUAUCAUGCUUGAACAUAGAUUCAAAAGAAAAUUGUUGUGGUCUAGGUUGAUUCGAAACAUAUCAAGAAACGCUUUGCAUUAUCUCGCAGAUGAGGCUGAUCGAGCAGUUGGUGUCGGUAUGGAUAAAUCAAGGUGUGGUUGUUUGAAUUUGAUCACUUUCAGAUUGCCAUGUGCGUGUGCGAUUGCAUUGAAGAUCAAGAGCAAAAAACCCCAUCCGUUUGGAUAAAAUCCACACUCACUAAAAGAGGUUGAGGUUCGAAUAUGAGGGUGAUAUCUCUCUGUUACCAGAAUAGGAUUUGCUUCAGGUAUUUUCUAUAAAAAUUACCGGUUGCAAGUGUCACUUUGUCUCUAAAAAGUUCACUUGUCCAUCCUCUCGAAAAGUCUUUGGCUUUCCCAGACCCGUUAAAGUCAUCACUUUACAUUCUAUUUAACCCCCUCAUCGUGACACUUUCUAAACCAUAAUCAUUAAAUUCAUACCCACAUAUAAACUCCAACAACACACCAACUUGAGAUUAGAGAGCAAUACUAAUAAUUUCAUAAUGCCUAUACUACGCCCUGAUAACAAGAAGACAAUUUCUCAAGAUCAAAUCAAAGCAGAAAGGAAAAUAAUGGAAGUAUUGGAAAAAGCAGAUAGCAAUAAGGACGGUUGUUAUACAAAGAGUGAGAUCAAGAAAGCUGUCAAGGAUUUACGUUCCUAUGUUCCUGGAUGGAGAGCCAUGCGUUGUAUGGUCAAUGUUGAUGCCAACAAUGAUGGACAAAUUAGUGGUGAGGAAAUUGAUACUUUAGUUGAUUAUCUUCUUGUCAAAGGGUUUGGAAAGUAACUAGUAAUAUAUGUGAAUUAUGAUCAAUUCCCUCUCUUCAGGUUUAAUUUUAUGAUAUUAUGACCCUCUAUGUGGUAGUAUACUAACUGCUAUAAGCUAUGUGUAAACAUAUAUUGAACCUCUGGUUAAAGAUUCGAUCUCUGACCCAAAAAUAUUGAAAACAUAUAUUUGGAGAUGUUUCUUCAACAAGAAAAAAAAGUGGAGAUGUCAUCCCGUAAAUUAAUAUCAAGUAUCUAAAGAAAUUAGUCUAUGUAGCAUGGACAUACAUUGAUUUAUAUGCUGAAAUAAUGUAUAAACUUUUGUCUAUAAAUCUAUAGUUUCAUUUUAUA
rnacentral:lncRNA from 1 species